UUUCCAUGAUGUACAUCUCUAUGACUCUAUUCUGAUGGUUGUGGAAUUGCUUAGCUUUGUCUAUCACUUAUUGCUUAUGCCAUUUAACUGGCAAGUGGUCCUGUUUAGUAGCUUCACCAGGUUGACAUUUAAUUUUUAGACAGCCUGGUGCUGCUCCUGGCAUGUCCUCCUCCACUCUCCAUUGAACCAGGACUGAUUCUCUGGUUCACUUGUAGCGGUUGAGUCGGGGAUAUGCCAAGCCAUGAGGUUGCAGAAUUGUAUUGGAGUAUGAUUGUGAUGGUGCUGAUGGCCCACAGCGCCUCAUAGAUGCCUACUCUUGAGUUGCUAUAUCUGUUUGAAGUCUGUCCCAUUUAGCUAGGUGUUAGUGCCACCCAACACAAUAUAGGAUGUUCUCAAUGUGAAGGAAGGACUUUGUCUCCAAAGACUGUACAGUAGUUAGUUACCAAUACUGUCACUGGCAGAUGAUCUGUGGUAGGCUGAUUGGUGAGGAUGAGGGUAAGUAUGUUUUCCCUCUUAUUGGCUCUGUACCACAUGCUGCAGACCCACAGUAGCAGCUGUGUCCUUCAAUCAUUAGUGGUACUGCUGUGCCACUCCUGGUGGUCAUUGAAAUCCUCCAUUCUGAGCCCUGCCCACCCACAGUGUUUCCUCCAAGUGGAAGUCAACAAGGAAGAGCACUAAUUCAUCAGCUGAGGGAGAACAUUACAUACUAAUCAGCAGGAAGUUUUGUUGCCUUUGGUUGACCUGAUGCCAUGAAACAUCAUGGCACCCAGAGCUAAAGUUGAGAAUACCCCGGGUUGCUCCUCAAGACUCUGUAUUAUUGUGUUGCCAUCUCUCCUGGAUCUGUCCUGCUGGUGGGACAGGACAUACCAGGAAGUAUGAUUCUGUAAGUCUAUGCCAGGCUCUUCCCUAACUAGUCUGACACAGUUGUCCUGAUAUUGGGAGCUCACAGAUGUUAGUGAGCAGUACUUUGCAGUUGUUAUUUCUUUUGCCUUGUCUGUCUGGUUUAAAUGUUUUUCUGAGACAUUCUAGCAGUCAGGUGACAUGCUGGGCCAUUUCAGAGUGCAGUUAAGACUAACUUGUAUUGCUAUCAUUCUGGAGUCAUAUGUAGGCUAGAUUUCCUUCCCUAAGUGGUAUUAGUUUUCUGGUUUUAUCAAUCUUUGUUUCAUGAUCAUCAUUAGACUUUUAAUUUCAGAGAUUUUUUUUUUAAAUUCCAUGGUGGGAUUUGUACCUGAGUCUCUGGAGUACCAGUCAAGUGAUAACUCACCUAUGUCAUUGCCUCCCUAUUUAAGGAAAAAAAAAAUUGAAAACCUAUUGUUAAAAUGGCAUGAGUUUAAGCAGGCAGUUAGAGUCAACCACAUUGCUGUGACUUUGGAAUUACAUGUAGAUCAGAGAAGGCAUAAUUGAACUGGAUGGAUUUUUGCAACAAACAACAAUAGUUGCUAUCACAUGAGCUGGUUGUGUUUUAUUGAACUCAAAAUUCAUAUUUGUCAUGGUGAGAUUCAAACCCAUGGUCCCAGAACAUUACCCUGAGAGGAGUUUUGGGAUACUAGUUCAAUGACUUUACCAUUACUCAAUCUACCAUUUGGUAGGUGUAACCCCUGUCACCUGCAUUAAAGUCUGCUCAUCUCUCUUUGAUGCAGACAAAAUUAAAAACUCAUUUUAUGAACAAUGACUUUAAUGAAAGGCAGAAGAAAUUUCUCGCAGUGGCCACACUGUGUGAACUGUUAAUUGUACAUUGAGGAGUCAGAAAAAUCAACAUAAUUCACAGGUGAAAUCUGUCCUUCAUGGUAAUUUGUAUGAAUGUAAUAUAUUAAAAGAAACAUUCUCCCUUUUUUUUCAGCAAAUACAGGCCUCAGCUGGAACAGCACAAUGAUAAUUUCUCUCUCUCCACCAUUGCUGAGGGCUCCCAAGCAAAUGAUGAUGUGAACGGACAAACUAAAACUCAAGAAUCAUUAAAAACUUGCCCGAAAGAUGGAGAUUCACUCAAUGUGCAAAACAACUGGACACCAAAACAUGACAACAAGGAAAGUGCUAGUGCAGAGGUAAACUCACUACAGAAUAACAUGAUGUAAAACAAUUGCAAAAGUGUCCAUUUUAAAAAAAAUUACAGUUUUUCUCCUGCCUUAUGAAACGCUUAGCAUGCUUUGAUGUAUUUUAUAUAAAUAUAUAUAUGAAAAGAGAAAUAAUUACAAGAAAUCCUUUGUUAUUUGUUUGACAAAAAAGACAGAAAACAGUGAAAAAAUUUCUUGUCCUCAACAUGAAUCGUGACCCCAGCAACCUUGCUUUGAUUGAUCAUUUAUUGCAGUCUGAUGGUGUGAUAUACGUUUGCUGCUGAGUUUUGUACUUAGCCACCCUGGCUAUAUUUUUCUCUCUCUUGUGGAAUUUUUGUUUUGACCUUUGAAAAUUGGAAAACAAAGAUGUUGAGUACUGAAAUAAAUCUUUUUAAAUUUA